AUUGAACGCUGGCGGCAGGCCUAACACAUGCAAGUCGAACGAGUGGCGGACGGGUGAGUAAUGUCUGGGAACCUGCCUGAUGGAGGGGGAUAACUACUGGAAACGGUAGCUAAUACCGCAUACCAUCAGAUGUGCCCAGAUGGGAUUAGCUAGUUGGUGGGGUAACGGCUCACCAAGGCGACGAUCCCUAGCUGGUCUGAGAGGAUGACCAGCCACAUUGGAAUUGAGACACGGACCAUACUCCUACGGGAGGGAGCAGUGGGGAAUAUGGCACAAUGGGCGCAAGCCUUAUGCAGUCAGGCCGCGGGUAUGAAGAAGGCCUUCGGGUUGUAAAGUACGUUCAGCGGUUAGGCGGUACCCGCAGAAGAAGCACCGGCUAACUCCGUGCCAGCAGCCGCGGUAAUAC
rnacentral:rRNA from 1 species